GACGAACGCUGGCGGCGUGCCUAAUACAUGCAAGUCAAGCGGACAGAAGGGAGCUUGCUCCCGGAUGUUAGCGGCGGACGGGUGAGUAACACGUGGGUAACCUGCCUGUAAGACUGGGAUAACUCCGGGCAACCGGAGCUCAUACCGGAUAGUUCCUUGAACCGCAUGGUUCAAGGAUGAAAGACGGUUUCGGCUGUCACUUACAGAUGGACCCGCGGCGCAUUAGCUAGUUGGUGAGGUAACGGCUCACCAAGCCAACGAUGCGUAGCCGACCUGGGAGGGUGAUCGGCCAGACUGGGACUGAGACACGGCCCAGACUCCUACGGGAGGCAGCAGUAGGGAAUCUUCCGCAAUGGACGAAAGUCUGACGGAGCAACGCCGCGUGAGUGAUGAAGGUUUUCGGAUCGUAAAGCUCUGUUGUUAGGGAAGAACAAGUGCAAGAGUAACUGCUUGCACCUUGACGGUACCUAACCAGAAAGCCACGGCUAACUACGUGCCAGCAGCCGCCGUAACAC
rnacentral:rRNA from 1 species